rnacentral:rRNA from 1 species
GACAGAGGGUGCAAACGUUGUUCGGAAUUACUGGGCGUAAAGCGUGUGUAGGCGGUCGAAAAAGUCGGAUGUGAAAGCCCCGGGCUCAACCUGGGAAGUGCAUUCGAUACUGUUUGACUUGAGUACUGGAGAGGUCGGUGGAAUUCUCGGUGUAGAGGUGAAAUUCGUAGAUAUCGGGAAGAACAUCUGUGGCGAAGGCGGCCGACUGGACAGAUACUGACGCUGAGACACGAAAGCGUGGGGAGCAAACAGG